CAAGCGGUUAAUGUGUUUCACAUUCCACGACAUUCAGUGUUGCGUUUUUCUUGUUUGGGAUUAGAUCCCAGGAAUUGUGAUCAUGAGGCGUCUGAAUUGUUUGCAGGCUGGACAAAGAAAAGCGGUACGUAGCACAAAGUGAAGAACCUCGGAAGAAUAGUUUUAAAUGGAGAAAAGAGGAAGAAACGAAGCUAGGAAAGGGUUUUGAGUGAUUGAUUUGGACACCGUUUCGUAAAAUCUGAUUCGUUCUUAUUCCGUCUCAUGGUCAAUUAAAUUAGCACCAUUCCAUUUCAUAGUUUGAUUGUAGAUUCAAAAUUCAAUGUCUGACACCGUCUUCUUUCCCCAUGAAAUCCUUACGGAAAUCCUUCGCAGACUUCCGCCAAAGUCCCUUCUCAGAUUCACCACCGUCUGCAAGUCAUGGCGCUCUCUCAUCACCCACCCAUUCUUUAUCUCUCUCUACCACCGUCACUCCUCCUUUCUCCUCAUUCAGUUCAGCAACCACUUCAUCCUCCCCCACCGCCUCCACCACCCCUCCACCACCCUCCGCCUCCCCUCCUUACCCCACCAUGAUUACUCCGUCGUUUCCUUCUGCAACGGCCUUGUUUGCGUCGCCUACGGUGAGCACUGCCAAUCUGUCAUCGUCUGCAACCCGUGUAUUCGACGAUUUGUCACCCUCCCCGCUCCCCUUCAGUACCCUUGCUACUACACUUCCAGCGUUGCCUUAGGCUUUGAUUCCAGUAAAUGUGAUUACAAGGUGGUCAGGAUUUCUUGCAUGGUGGAUGAUGAAAGGUUCGGCCUUUCUGCUCCCAAGGUUGAGGUUUUCUCUCUUGCAACUGGGUCUUGGAGGACCCUUGAUCAUGGCAUUGCUCCUGUCUGCUACGUUGCUAGAGAUACUCCCCCUGGAUUUCACGAUGGGCUUGUUCACUGGGUUGCCAAACGCUACGUGGCUGGUGGAUGGUACAAUUUUAUUUUGUCCUUUCACUUUGAGGGUGAGAUGUUUCGUGAAGUUAUGCUGCCAGAGAGCUUGGCUCUUCGUACCUCUUGGGGUAUGAUUAAGGUUGUUGGGGGUGGCAAUGGGAAGACUCUUACUGUGUACGAUGUGGAUGGGGCUUCUCCAUGCUCUUGUAACAUUUGGAUGAUGAAAGAAUAUGGUGAGGUGGAAUCUUGGAACAAGGCCUUUUCUUUUCUUAUGAGCGGAUUUUGCUUGGUAGCACCGUCUUUGGGAAUGAUGAUCACUGACGUGAAAAUUCCACCGAAGGGGUUGUGUGUUACGUGCAGUGGAGAGGUGUUGCUGCUAGUGGAUGUGGCAGAAAGGAGAUGCCUGUAUUCGCUGGACAUAAAGAAGGAAAGUUUUACAGACCUUCAAAUUGAAAUAGGCGCAGGGUUUGUUUAUUGUGGUUAUUAUGCUGAGAGCUUACUUUUACUGAACAUAGCAAAUGGCGUAGUUUCUUAUUGAAGGGGUAACGACAUUCCAAUCUGAUACUUAUGCAGUGUAUGUUAUCAUUCACUUAUCACGUCAACGUUUAUUUUCCACACAUUUUGUUGCUUUCUCGGUGGGAGUUAAACCAUUCCAAGUACAAGGAGUGUAAACCAAGUCUUUAUCUUUGUUUCGUGUUUGUGGAUUCCAAUUACCCAACGGUUUACUGCGAAUACGAUACCUAUUACAACUGAAUCAGACAGGAGAAGGGUUCCUUGUUGGAAGCAGCAACUCCAGAUAGAUUUGAUAACCAUGCUAAUAGAAAUUUCAUCAGACAACCUUAACAGCCGGAGCAUCCUUGAGUUUCGCAGUGCCUAUUGUGUACUUGUGUGAAUUCAGGUUGUUUUAUUUUUAAAUUCCAUUUAAAAAUUUAUGGUAUUGGCAAUAAAUAUUAAUAUGAACAGUUCUGAAAUAAUUGAUCUUUUGAACUACCAAAUAUGAACCUUUUUGAAAA